rnacentral:rRNA from 1 species
CCUACGGGGAGCAGCAGUGAGGAAUAUUGGUCAAUGGACGAGAGUCUGAACCAGCCAAGUAGCGUGAAGGAUGACUGCCCUAUGGGUUGUAAACUUCUUUUAUAUGGGAAUAAAAUGUUCCACGUGUGGGAUUUUGUAUGUACCAUAUGAAUAAGGAUCGGCUAACUCCGUGCCAGCAGCCGCGGUAAUACGGAGGAUCCGAGCGUUAGCCGGAUUUAUUGGGUUUAAGGGGAGCGUAGGUGGAUUGUUAAGUCAGUUGUGAAAGUUUGCGGCUCAACCGUAAAAUUGCAGUUGAAACUGGCAGUCUUGAGUACAGUAGAGGUGGGCGGAAUUCGUGGUGUAGCGGUGAAAUGCUUAGAUAGCACGAAGAACUCCGAUUGCGAAGGCAGUUCACUGGACUGCAACUGACACUGAGGCUCGAAAGUGUGGGUAUCAAACAGGAUUAGAUACCCCUGUAGUC